GCUAGCGUUGUUCGGAUUUACUGGGCGUAAAGCGCACGUAGGCGGAUCGUUCAGUCGGGGGUGAAAUCCUGGAGCUCAACUCCAGAACUGCCUUCGAUACUGGCGAUCUUGAGUCCGGAAGAGGUGAGUGGAACUCCUAGUGUAGAGGUGGAAUUCGUAGAUAUUAGGAAGAACACCAGUGGCGAAGGCGGCUCACUGGUCCGGUACUGACGCUGAGGUGCGAAAGCGUGGGGAGCAAACAGG
rnacentral:rRNA from 1 species